CGACCUCGAUGUUGGAUUAAAAAUUAUUUUGGGUGUAGAAGUUCAAAAUUUUGGUCUGUUCGACCAUUAAAUUUUUACAUGAUCUGAGUUCAGACCGGCGUAAGCCAGGUCGGUUUCUAUCUUUAUUUUAUUUAUAUAUUUUAGUACGAAAGGACCAAAUAUUUAAUAUAUUAAUAUUUUUGUUUUGAUUAAUAUU
rnacentral:rRNA from 1 species